rnacentral:rRNA from 1 species
UACGAAGGGUGCAAGCGUUAAUCGGAAUUACUGGGCGUAAAGGGUGCGUAGGCGGUUGUUUAAGUCCGUCGUGAAAUCCCCGGGCUCAACCUGGGAAUGGCGAUGGAUACUGGGCAGCUAGAGUGUGUCAGAGGAUGGUGGAAUUCCCGGUGUAGCGGUGAAAUGCGUAGAGAUCGGGAGGAACAUCAGUGGCGAAGGCGGCCAUCUGGGACAACACUGACGCUGAAGCACGAAAGCGUGGGGAGCAAACAGG